rnacentral:rRNA from 1 species
GACGAACGCUGGCGGCGUGCUUUAUACAUGCAAGUCGAACGAUGAAGUUCCUUCGGGAAUGGAUUAGUGGCGAACGGGUGAGGAACACGUGAGAAACCUGCCUUUCAUUCUGGGAUAACUCCGGGAAACCGGGGCUAAUACCGGAUACUCCGUCUUGGCGGCAUCGCCGAGCCGGGAAAAAAUUUUGAUGAAAGAUGGUCUCGCGGCCUAUCAGCUAGUUGGUGAGGUAAAGGCUCACCAAGGCGACGACGGGUAGCCGGCCUGAGAGGGCGACCGGCCACACUGGGACUGAGACACGGCCCAGACUCCUACGGGAGGCAGCAGUAGGGAAUAUUGGGCAAUGGGCGCAAGCCUGACCCAGCGACGCCGCGUGAGGGAUGAAGGUCUUCGGAUUGUAAACCUCUUUCAGUAGGGAAGAAGCGAAAGUGACGGUACCUAAAGAAGAAGCACCGGCUAACUAUGUGCCAGCAGCCGCGGUAAUACAUAGGGUGCAAGCGUUGUCCGGAAUUAUUGGGCGUAAAGAGCUCGUAGGUUGUUUGUCGCGUCGAUUGUGAAAAUCUGAGGCUCAACCUCAGACCUGCAGUCGAUACGGGCAAACUAGAGUGUGGUAGGGGAGACUGGAAUUCCUGGUGUAGCGGUGGAAUGCGCAGAUAUCANGAGGAACACCAAUGGCGANGCAGGUCUCUGGGCCAUAACUGACACUGAGGAGCGAAAGUGCGGGGAGCGAACAGGAUUAGAUACCCUGGUAGUCCGCACCGUAAACGGUGGGCACUAGUUGUGGGAACCUUCCACGGUUUCCGCGACGCANCAAACGCAUUAAGUGCCCCGCCUGGGGAGUACGAUCGCAAGAUUAAAACUCAAGGAAUUGANGGGGCCCCGCACAAGCAGCGGAGCAUGCGGCUUAAUUCGACGCAACGCGAAGAANCUUACCNNGGC